GACAGAGGGUGCAAACGUUGUUCGGAAUUACUGGGCGUAAAGGGCGCGUAGGCGGCUAUGUAAGUCAGAUGUGAAAGCCCAGGGCUUAACCCUGGAAGUGCAUCUGAUACUGCGUAGCUUGAGUCCCGGAGAGGGUGGUGGAAUUCCUGGUGUAGAGGUGAAAUUCGUAGAUAUCAGGAGGAACACCGGUGGCGAAGGCGACCACCUGGACGGAGACUGACGCUGAGGCGCGAAAGCUAGGGGAGCAAACAGG
rnacentral:rRNA from 1 species